AUACGAAUACAUCUCUAUGUAGCAACGAGUGCAGGGAAUGUGAGAGCGAUCAAUCAUCGCUUCACAGCCUAGCUCAAACAUAUUAAAAUGCCGUUUCUCCGCAGCAUUUAGACUCUCGCACGAGUGGACAACGGCUGACGUAGGUCACCUCGUCACCGAGAGAAGAGAGUGUUAAAAUCCGGUGAGUAAUCUGUGGCUAGAGUUGCACAAUCAUAAGAUCUGUGAGUCAUUGCGGCAAGAGGAAUUUUAAGGGCGAUAUCGGCAACGAUAUCCAGCUUUCAGGUACGCGGCAGCUCCUAGAUAACCGGUUGGGAAAAAUUGUAAGCUACCUAAAGCACGAUACGGAAAUUGCACAGCUAUGUGUCACAUUACUCGUUCCAGAAUCGAAUCCGAGAUUACUCGGAGAGAUUUAUACUACUUCUUCACAUGAAGGUGGAAAGCAUUCCCGCCAUGCAUAAAAGUGAUUUCGGGUGAAUUCGUAUAAAUUUCUGUGCAAAACGUGCGACAUGAUGAAUGCGAAACUUUAUGCGAAAAAAAUGUAAAAGUUUAUUGGUGUCGUCGACUGAGCAGUGCAGAUGUUCGUAUGCAAUCUGAUGUGGAUUACGUGGAUGCUUACGUUGGCAGCAUUCGUGGCUAUAAGCGAGAGCCUGCGGAGUGUCUGGUCCAUUUUGAUAAACUCGCACGCAUUCGUAAUUGCAUGCAAAGUCGUAGCUAACAGUGUGUACAAAGCGAUGAUGGAUAGCUUUAAAUGCAGCCGAAUUGCUAAAGAUUCUAUAUGCAAUCUCACUCUAAAUCGCAAAUUAUUCACGUAACAAUUUAUAAUAGAAAUAAAUCAUUCCUACAAAAUUUAUGAAAUUCUAUGAUUUUGAGAAGCUUUCGCGGAUUACAUUGAGAAUCACAAGAGAACACUUUGCACUACGAGAAAUGCGUAUAAAGAGAUUUAUUAUCAAGACAGUACAUUCACCUAAUGAAAAUUAAUGAAAUAAUAAAAAGAUUGAUAAAUCAAAA